GCAUGGACUACCAUUGACCCAUGGAAGUAGCCAUUUUACGUCAGACGACAUAUUUCAUUUCAUUGAAGAUCAGUGCGCAGGGUACACGAGUCUGACACCUCAACCAGAAGUAAUGUAGAAUCACGUAGUAAACGAAAGUUUCCUCUAACCAUACUACUAGCAAACUCGUUGCUAGGCGCUGUGAGACAUCAGCUAAAGCAGUGAUUUAACCACCAAACACAACAGGGCUCGUCGUAUCCUCUUCUUGGGAUUGGACAAUGCGGUAGCUGAGACAGACCGGAACAAAGCGCCCUCUAUUGUCACGAUCCUGACGAUGACUGAUCACUUCGCAAAGAAUCAAGAGGGUGGUUCCGCCACCCAACCAACUUAAAGGAGCAAGCCAAGGGGAAUGGAUAACAGGGAAGAGAGAUGGAUGAAUAUAAUGUUGGCAAAUUGAUCAGAAAUUCAGCCAUCAAUGCAUUAUCAGGAAUGUUGUUUUCUCGCUAACAGCGUUGAUGCUCCAGAAGUCUCUUUUGUGCUCUGUACUUCGAGACAUAAAGCGA